AAUAACUUCAGUUUCUAUAUAUAAUGUUUUGACUUUCGUCUUAUUUGAAAUUUUUUUGUGACUAAUAUUUUUAUUGUUACUAGACGAUAAAAUAUGAAUUAUACUUCAUGCGUGACUAAUUUUUUCAAGUUUUUGUAUAUUUUUUCAAAUAAGACAAAUGAUCAAAUAUUACAUAUAGAAAUCGAAAAAUAAAGUUAUU
rnacentral:pre_miRNA from 1 species